GUUAAAGCAACAUAAGGGCGUAUGGUGGAUGCCUUGGCACAGGCAGGCGAGGAAGGACGUGUAAAGCUGCGAAAAGCUGCGGGGAGCUGCACAAGAGCUCAGAUCCGCAGGUAUCCGAAUGGGGCAACCCAUCCCGGCUUCGGCCGGGAUACUCCCUUAGGGGAGGGCCAACGGAGGGAACUGAAACAUCUAAGUACCUCCAGGAACAGAGAACAAGUCAGUGAUUCCCCAAGUAGCGGCGAGCGAACGGGGAGAAGCCCAAACCCGGCUGCUACGGCGGCCGGGGGUAGCAGGGCUCCCGGAAACCAACCCAAGCGAAGACGAAGCGGACUGGAAAGCCGCCCCACAGAAGGUGACAGGCCUGUAGACGUAAGCGAGGAGCGGUGGGGAGAUCCCCUGAGUAGGACGGGACCGGAGAAAUCCUGUCCGAAUCAGCCGGCACCAUCCGGCAAGGCUAAAUACUGCCUGUGACCGAUAGUGAACAAGUACCGUGAGGGAAAGGUGAAAAGAACGCCGAGAAGGCGAGUGAAAUAGUACCUGAAACCAUACGCUUACAAGCGGUCGGAGUGGUUGUGGUCUUCGGAUCAUGGCUAUGACGGCGUGCCUUUUGCAUAAUGAGCCUACGAGUUGCGCCUGUCGUGCAAGGUUAAUCUCCUCAGGAGAGCAGCCGAAGCGAAAGCGAGUCCGAACAGGGCGGCAGUACGGCGGGGCAGACGCGAAACCGAGUGAGCUAUCUAUGACCAGGGCGAAGCGGCGGUAAGACGCCGUGGAGGCCCGCACCGCCUGGCGUUGAAAAGCCAUCGGAUGAGUUGUGGAUAGGGGUGAAAGGCCAAUCAAACUCGGAAAUAGCUCGUUCUCCUCGAAAUAUAUUUAGGUAUAGCAUCUGGCGACCCGCGUCGGAGGUAGAGCACUGAUUAGACUAGGGGGCUUCACCGCCUACCAAAUCUAGCCAAACUCCGAAUGCCGGCGCGAUCGGCCAGGUAGUCAGCGUGGGGGCGAUAACGUCCUCCCGCAAGAGGGAAACAACCCAGACCACCAGCUAAGGCCCCCAAAUCCAAACUAAGUUGAACAAAGAAAGUUGGGUUGCCCAGACAACUAGGAGGUUGGCUUAGAAGCAGCCAUUCCUUGAAAGAGUGCGUAAUAGCUCACUAGUCGAGCGGCCCGGCGUCGAUAAUUAGCGGGCAUAAGUUUGGUGCCGAAGCUGUGGAUUGUUGCCGGAAGGCAGCAGUGGUAGAGGAGCAUUCCAGUGGCGCAGAAGCCCGGCUGUGAGGCCGCGUGGAGCCGCUGGAAGCGAAACUGUAGGCAUGAGUAACGAUAAGAAGAGUGAAAAACUCUUCCACCGAAAAUCUAAGGGUUCCUGAUCAACGCUAAUCGGAUCAGGGUUAGUCGAGACCUAAGGUGUAGCCGAGAGGCGAAGCCGAUGGAAAACCGGUUAAAUAUUCCGGUACCACCGUCUCAGCGAUAAACGAAGGCGCAACGCAGAAGUGACACUACCGCCUGCUGACGAAAGCAGGUUGAAGGAGGUAGGCCGGGCGGCAGGCAAAUCCGCCGCCCACACAGGCUGAGCUCCGACAGUACGGGGAGCCUGCGGGCAAACCGAUAGUGUAGGUAAUCUGGCUGCCAAGAAACCCGUCGUCGUUUGUUGGGAGGUGCUCGUACCAUAAACCGACACAGGUAGAUGAGGAGAGGAUCCUCAGGUGCUCGAGCGAAUCGUGGCUAAGGAACUCGGCAAAUUAGAUCCGUAACUUCGGGAGAAGGAUCCCCCACCCCGGCUUCGGCCGGGGCGGGGCGCAGUGACCAGAUCCAAUCGACUGUUUAACAAAAACACAGGCCUCUGCUAACUCGCAAGAGGACGUAUAGGGGCUGACACCUGCCCGGUGCUGGAAGGUUAAGGAAGCCUGUUAAUCCCUUCGGGGGUGAAGCGGGCGACUGAAGCCCCAGUAAACGGCGGCCGUAACUAUAACGGUCCUAAGGUAGCGAAAUUCCUUGUCGGGUAAGUUCCGACCUGCACGAAUGGUGAAACGAAUUGGAUACUGUCUCGGCCACGAGCUCGGUGAAAUUGUGGUAUCGGUGAUGACGCCGAUUACCCGCAGCGGGACGGAAAGACCCCGUGAACCUUUACUACAACUUUACAUUGGCUUUAGCUGCCGGAUGUGCAGGAUAGGUGGGAGGCAUCGAAGCCCCAGCGCCAGCUGGGGUGGAGCCGCCCGUGAAAUACCACCCUUCGGGCCGCUGAAUUCUAAUGCCCCGAGCGGGCAGACAGUGUAUGGUGGGUAGUUUGACUGGGGCGGUCGCCUCCUAAAGUGUAACGGAGGCUCCCAAAGGUACCCUCAACGCGGUCGGCAAUCGCGUGCAGAGUGUAAAAGCAUAAGGGUGCUUGACUGCGAGACAUACAGGUCGAGCAGGUGCGAAAGCAGGGUUUAGUGAUCCGGCGGUUUCCGAAUGGAAGGGCCGUCGCUCAAAGGAUAAAAGGUACUCCGGGGAUAACAGGCUUAUCUCCCCCAAGAGUUCACAUCGACGGGGAGGUUUGGCACCUCGAUGUCGGCUCAUCGCAUCCUGGGGCUGGAGAAGGUCCCAAGGGUAUGGCUGUUCGCCAUUUAAAGCGGUACGCGAGCUGGGUUCAGAACGUCGUGAGACAGUUCGGUCCCUAUCUGCUGUGGGCGUUGGAAUGUUGCGGAGAGCUGCUCCUAGUACGAGAGGACCGGAGUGGACGCACCGCUGGUGUACCGGUUGUCGUGUCAACGGCACGGCCGGGUAGCUAUGUGCGGAAGUGAUAAGCCGCUGAAAGCAUCUAAGCGCGAAGCACGCUCCAAGAUCAACAUUCCCUAUAGAGCCUUCUGGAAGACGACCAGAUCGAUAGGCGGCAGGUGCAAGCGCGGUAACGCGCUCAGCCGAGCCGUACUAAUAAGGCUACCGGCUUUUCCUU
rnacentral:rRNA from 1 species